rnacentral:rRNA from 1 species
CUACGGGAGGCUCCAGUGGGGAAUAUUGCGCAAUGGGCGAAAGCCUGACGCAGCAACGCCGCGUGAGUGAUGAAGGCCUUCGGGUCGUAAAGCUCUGUCGGGAGGGAAGAACACCUUCGGGUCUGACGGUACCUCCCGAGGAAGCACAGGCUAACUCCGUGCCAGCAGCCGCGGUAAUACGGAGUGUGCAAGCGUUGUUCGGAAUUACUGGGCGUAAAGCGCGCGUAGGCGGCUUGAUAAGUCAGAUGUGAAAUCCCUCGGCUUAACCGAGGAACUGCAUUUGAAACUGUCAGGCUUGAGUACGGGAGGGGGAAGCGGAAUUCCCAGUGUAGAGGUGAAAUUCGUAGAUAUUGGGAGGAACACCAGCGGCGAAGGCGGCUUCCUGGACCGAUACUGACGCUGAGGCGCGAAAGCGUGGGGAGCAAACAGGAUUAGAUACCCUAGUAGUC